CACGGGCACAGGCGGCAGGUUGCCCUCCCCGAGCUGCCAGCACUCAGCCCCUCGCUGGAAUCACGCCGCCCGCAAGCCGAAUCUGAGGGAGAGCCUGAAGCCAAGGCAGAAUAAAUAAAGCAAAACCACCAACCCCUUAAACAAAAAUCAGGCGGACCCCCCGGCCAGCAAGCAGCAAGCCAUCCCUGGGGUUCACUGACGCCACGCGCAAGAGAAUGGAGAAAAGCCAACCUGGAGGAAUCACCACGCUGAAGCCGUGCCGCUGCAGGAGCACUUUGUCUCAGCAUCCAGCCACACGCCUCCGCCGACGCCGUGGCUCAAAGGCGCCCAUGCAAUAUGCAGCCCUGACACGCAGCUGGGCACGCUCCCAGCUUCUCCUGUGCAUCCAGAGCGAAAAAAUCAAUCCCAUGGCAAGCACGGACCCCUAAGCUCCUCCAGACGAGGAGGACAGUCCAAUCAUCGCAUCCCUGGCCUCAGCCUGCCUGCCCUUCAGGGGAGGCAUGACUUUACAGGCAGCAGAGUAUCUGAUAAAGCAUCACGGCAGAGAAUGACCCAGCCGCACGCAUUUAAUUGAUGCUUCCUCUCUCCUCCUCUCUCCGGGUCGCACGGUUCAGCGCUGGACCAAGAACAGUGAGCCAAACAGGACUUCACAUCUCCUUCAUCUCCAUGGGAAGAGGGGUAGCAAAGUUAAAAGGCACCCAAACUUUCUGAAACCAAAAAUCACAUGAGGGGAUAAAUGUGACCAACACGAGUCUGACUUGCAUCACUAAAGUCUGAAUCACCCAUGUACAGCUGAAGCUUUGGUCCAAAAUACAGCAUGAAGCUCAGACUCAUACUUCUGAAACCAGAAGCAUUAAAUCAUGUGCCUGAAAUGCUUUACUACUCCACCCUUCACAGAAAAAGACAGAUCCUUUUUCUCUUUAGUGUGUGCAGGGGCUGAACCAAAACAAAGAUCACUAGCUCUAAUGUUCCUCAUACUACACAGGAAGCCAGCUUCCAGCACUAAAAAGCAGCAACUCAUUACUUGAAAAGGUCUCCCAGAUUUUAUUGAAAAAUCCUGAAUUCAUCCCAAGAUGCAAGCUCAACUUGGAACAGGGCACAAUCUCUCUUACUGCCUCCAGCCCAUGCAAGGCUUCACCCUGCAUCACUGAUAUCCACGUACCUAAUGCCAGUAGAGGUAGCUGAUUUUCUCCUAGUGAGCUCAAUGGCACAUAGAGAGAAUAUACUAUACCUAGCUAGUAGAGCAUGGUGCUGGAGGGAAAAAUCACCAUCCAUUUUUGCUCUUUCCUGGAAAGAAGCACUAUAAACACAGCAUAAACCAUGAACAGCCCACACAGCCUAUGCUGUCCAUACUAUUCAAGUCACCACAGCCCUUCUCUACCCAUUAAAUAAGCCCCUGAAUCACGUGCAUAGGGCAGGUGAUUCUAAGUUCACCUGUAUUUGUUGUGAUUUAUGCCAUCAUCUGCAAGGUGUGGAGAGUUAUCAUGAUUCCAGCUGCCUUCAAGUUGGUUGGGAUUUUCACUUAAUCCUCGCCAAAAUUUUACCCUGAGGGCAAGCCUGUACUGUGCAAUGGGGCAGGGCACUGCAUGGAGAUGCCAAGGCCUCUCAUCACCCUGGCUCAGGGCACUGCCAGGUUGAGACAUCCUCUUAGAGCAUGAAGCAGCUCACCCUGCCUCAUGCUGCCUGCUCAUUCUCUGUCGCCUCCUGUCCUUUCUGGGGUUCUUUCUGUGUCCUCCACUCCCUUCCCCUUUCUGCUUUUCGAGCUGGAACACUCCAAUGCAGCCAGGUAUUUUGCCAGUAUCUUGUCUGGUGCAAAUGGCUUUUUAACUAAAGCACAGAAUUGACGUUGGUCCAGCUGUCUGUACCCAGACUGGCUUUGUCCCACCAUGGCUUCUCAGCUACUUUGGUACAGACAUCUACAGUUUUUAGCACCCUGCAUGAAUCUCAGUGGGACUUAAGAGUUCACUUCCCAGGGGUUUCUGUUUUGAACAUUUUAAAAAACCCUUCUAAAAAGUGUUUUGGCUAAAGAUUUUUAGUAAAUUAUUUUCUUAUCAGGCAAUCAUUCCAUGAUUACUAGGGUUUAAUCUGUUCACUGCCACAUUGCUACACAACAUUAAUUUAAUAAAAACCUGAACAUCUAACAUUAUUUCUGUCAAAACAGUUAGAGACCCUGAUAAAAAAUAAUACAUUAGGUUUUCCUAUGUGCUCUAGGACAGUGCAUGAGGCAUUAGUGAUACACAGAACAGAAGACUUGGCUGUUAAAUUUUCAAAA